AGCAAGGCAAAAUAGCAGCCAAAGCCACGAGAAUCAAGAAGUCAGUGAAGAGCAGGAAAGGAAUGGAGGAAUCUGUCCAGAGCUGUGCCCCUGCUUGCCACAGGAGCUGCGCGGGAGGAGAAGAACGUGGGCCAAAAGGAAUGGAGGAAUCUGUCCAGAGCUGUGCCCCUGCUUGCCACAGGAGCUGCGCGGGAGGAGAAGAACGUGGGCCAAAAGGUAAGAGGAGCUCCUUUGGGUUCUGGGCUUGAAGCAAAGCUGAGAAGCCAUGCCCGGGAGGAGGUGUGGGUAGCUACAGGCCACCUUGCUAUCUCCCCAAGAGAUGAGGUGUGUGGGCUAGGCACCGGGCAGGAGUGCUGGCCAGAAGCAAGCAUCUCUGUGGAGGAAGGCAAAGGGCGGAG
ensembl:lncRNA